rnacentral:lncRNA from 1 species
CUUAGAAUUGGAGUGCCUGGGUUAGAACCCUGCUGGUACCACCUGCUUACUGCAUGCUUCUGAUGUGAGUUCAGGAGAAGACACUGGCAAGGACAGCAAAGAACAGGAGAACACUCUAGCUUCCCUGAUAGCAUUCAAGGUGCUGUCCAAACUGACUGUGAUGGCACCCUCCAGACAGACAGCGAUGCCACAUGUUCAAGAUGGCAGAAUCACUAUCAGCUUCAAUUCCUGAAUGACUGCAGAGCAAAAUUUCUUACCUGCAACAUACACUCUAUUUUCAGCCUCCCUGGACUGUUACAUAAUGAUACAUAAAAAUAUUUCUUGUGUUGAGGCAUCCCAAAUUUGAUUUAUUUGUCAUCACAGUCUAUCCUAUGAAUAUAUUUCUGAUCCAAAUAAUGCUAGAUUCAUGAGAGUUUAUAGUCCAGAGAUUUUUUUUUUUUUUUUGAGACAGAAUCUGUCUCCCAGGCUGGGGUGCAGUGGCAUAAUCUUAGCUCACUGCAACCUCUGCCUCCCGGGCUCAAGUGAUCCUCCCUCCUUAGCCUCCAUGAGUAGCUGGGACCACAGGUGUGCACCACCACACCCCGCUAAUUAUUUUGUAUUUUUUGCAGAGGGGGGUUUCACCACAUUGCCCAAGCUGGUCUCAAACUCCUAGACUUAAGGGAUCUGCCUGCCUUGGCCUCCCAAAAUGCUGAAAUUACACUUGUUAGCCAUAGUAAUAGUUCCUAGCCAUAGUCCGGAGAUAUUUUAAAAACUUUAGUGUGAGUUAUUUCUCUUUG